GACGAACGCUGGCGGCGCGCCUAACACAUGCAAGUCGAACGAGCGAGAGAGAGCUUGCUUUCUCGAGCGAGUGGCGAACGGGUGAGUAACGCGUGAGGAACCUGCCUCAAAGAGGGGGACAACAGUUGGAAACGACUGCUAAUACCGCAUAAGCCCACGGGUCGGCAUCGACCAGAGGGAAAAGGAGCAAUCCGCUUUGAGAUGGCCUCGCGUCCGAUUAGCUGGUUGGUGAGGUAACGGCCCACCAAGGCAACGAUCGGUAGCCGGACUGAGAGGUUGAACGGCCACAUUGGGACUGAGACACGGCCCAGACUCCUACGGGAGGCAGCAGUGGGGAAUAUUGCACAAUGGGGGAAACCCUGAUGCAGCGACGCCGCGUGGAGGAAGAAGGUCUUCGGAUUGUAAACUCCUGUUGUUGAGGAAGAUAAUGACGGUACUCAACAAGGAAGUGACGGCUAACUACGUG
rnacentral:rRNA from 1 species